rnacentral:rRNA from 1 species
UACGUAGGGCGCAAGCGUUGUCCGGAAUUAUUGGGCGUAAAGAGCUCGUAGGCGGUUUGUCGCGUCUGCCUGUGAAAACUGGAGGCUCAACCUCCAGCCUGCAGUGGGUACGGGCAGACUAGAGUGGCGGUAGGGGAGAUUGGAAUUCCUGGUGUAGCGGUGGAAAUGCGCAGAUAAUCAGGAGGAACACCAAUGGCGAAGGCAGAAUCUCUGGGCCGUAACUGACGCUGGAGGAAGCGAAAGCAUGGGGAGCGAACAGG